rnacentral:rRNA from 1 species
GAUUUCUGGCUUGGCGCGCCUGACCCGCUCCCAAUCGGGAGUGAGUGUUGGUGUGCGCCUGCCAUCCUUCCGGAAGCCUGCUCUGCCCUUAACUGGGUUGGAGUUAGGUCCCGGAUCUUUUACUUUGAAAAAAUUAGAGUGUUCAAAGCAGGCAUGUGCUGUGAAUACAUUAGCAUGGAAUAAUAAUUUAGGACUUUGGUUCUAUUUUGUUGGUUUCUAGGACUGAAGUAAUGAUUGAUAGGGAUAGUUGGGGGUGCUCGUAUUCAGUGGCCAGAGGUGAAAUUCUUGGAUUCACUGAAGACGAACUAAUGCGAAAGCAUU